AUAGCAGCUUGUGUUUUGAUUCACUCACCAUAGUUGUCUCAGCAAUGGAACCAAAGCUGUUGAUGAAAAUGUUGCAGCUCACAUUCACCGGGGGACCUGCCAAUCAAAAGAGAUACCUGCUUUAGCUCCAUAGCCAUGAAGAAACCCACAGGACAGGACCCGUGCCUGAAACACUGACCUCAGGGAUGGACACCCCUUGGCUGUGCCCCUGAUCCUAGGAACCAUUGUCCGACACAGAGUCUUGGAGGAGAUGCAGACUAUCAGAACCGGAGGGGCCUCGGCUGCUGGAUCAUUUCGCAGAUGUGGAAACAGAGGCCUGGUGACCAGGGACAGUGGAUGGGACUUUCAAAGACGGAGAUGGCUGCCUAAUGCAUGCGAGGAAGGACUAUUUUGACCAUUCGAUCUACCCAGUAAGAGAAGAGGCUGCC